GGUUUCCUGAAAAAUAUUAGAGAUUUAACCUGCCCACUGAAAAUUUUAAGGGCCGCAGUAUUAUGACUGUGCAAAGGUAGCAUAAUCAUUAGUCUUUUAAUUGAAGGCUGGUAUGAAUGGUUGGACGAGGUAAAAACUGUCUUAUAUUAAAAGAUUGAACUUGUAUCUUAAGUAAAAAGACUUAAAUAUAUUUAAGGGACGAGAAGACCCUAUAGAGUUUAAUAAAUAUUAUGUUUAAUUAGGUUAAAAAAUAAUUUAUGAUUAUUAUAUAAUUUAUUUAAUUGGGGUGAUUAAAAGAUAAAGAAAACUCUUUUUAAAAUUCAAUAUUAAUUAGUAGAAAUUUGAUCCAUAUAUAAUGAAUAAAAGAGAAAUUACCUUAGGGAUAACAGCAUAAUUUUUUUUGAGAGUUCUUAUUAAAAAUAAAGAUUAUGACCUCGAUGUUGGAUUAAGAUAAAAUUUUGGGUGAAGUAGUUCAAAUAAUAGGUCUGUUCGACCUUUAAAUUCUUACA
rnacentral:rRNA from 2 species